rnacentral:rRNA from 1 species
UACGGGGGGGACUAGUGUUAUUCGGAAUGACUGGGCGUAAAGGGUGUGUAGGCGGUCGAAAAAGUUGAAAGUGAAAUCUCAAAGCUUAACUUUGAAAGUGCUUUCAAAACGGUUCGACUUGAGUUUGAUAGAGGAUAGUGGAAUUUCUAGUGUAGAAAUAAAAUCCAUAGAGAUUAGAAGGAACACCGAAUGCGAAGGCAGCUAUCUGGCUCAAAACUGACGCUGAAACACGAAAGUAUGGGGAGCAAACAGG